ACUUGAAUGCAGCAGUUCUUAUUGCUAACUUACUACCAGUCACCACUAAUGAACAAAGAAUAUGAACAGGAAAUUCAUAAAGAAGAGAUACAGGUGGCCAAUGAAGAUAGGAAAAGAGUUCUGCCUCAGUGAUAAUCAAAGAGACACACAUGGAAACAAAGAAGAUGGCAUUUUCACCUACCAAAUUUGUAAAGAUUAAAAGGACAAAUAGAAAGAAAAGACCUAAUGCCAGCGAAUGUUGGGAUUGGCUCCUGCUGCAUAGUUCGAGCCCCACGUCCUGGGCUGGCCUGCACGUGCCGUCAGGUGAGGCCUUUCCUCGUCUCUGGGUGCAUUUGGAUCCGCUAUUGAGCAGGUGGCCCCUGCACGUGGUUCACAACUCAGGAAGUGCAAGCUCUAGAGUGAUGCUUGGCCUCUCAGCGUCCCUGCUGCCACCCGGGCCCCUCUGCAGGGAACAGCUGCCUCCAGGGGCUUGUAUGGGUCCUUUGAGGUGUUCUGUGCACAUACACGCACUUCGAAACCUAUUUUUAUUUCCCUGCGCCUGCUCAGCUCUUCACUGACAGAAAGGGGAGUUAAACCAGGUCAUGUCCUUUGGCCCUCGUCUCUUCAUCCCCUCCCGCUACACUGGGCUUUGCGGCCUUCUCUCCCAGUAUUCCCAGACGGUGAUGAAGUUGUCUGUUGCCGCAUGUGCCCCCUGCUAGGGUGAAGCCACUGAGGGCGGUGACUGCCUCUGCUUGCCCACCACAGCCUCCCCUUGGCAUCUCUGGUGUGGCACUCAUUACUCUUCUUGUUCGGCAUUGGGAGAGAGCAGUUCUGUGGGACGUUGUAACCCGCCGUUUGAACCUAACCGUCUAAUCCGUGUGGAAUUGAUUCUGUUGUGUGGCGGGAGGAUGCAGUGGUCACAAGAAGCACGUCACGGCCCCGCCACCCCUCCGUGCUUUUCUCUGGCUGUUCACAGGCGCUGAUUCUAGUGGCUCCUAUGUCAUCAUCGGGAAGCAAGUCUGUCAGGCAUGCAGCUGCGGGGUGACCUACACUAGUGAGAGGCACAGCAAUGAAAACAAGGGCAUCACCUCAAGUGAGAGGAAAACAGUAAUGACAGAAAACUGCAGCAGGAAGGAGCUGUGGGAAUCUAUGGCUGGGGACCAAAGAGGCAGGCGUGACCUGAGCGCCCGCGCACGCUGGCUGUGGGGACCGGAAGGCUGGAUAUUUGUCGUGAGGGCACCGGAGGCCAGCUUUGCCCCGUUUGUGAGAAGGGUUGCCGUGAGCACCCUGCGGCGUGGAGGAGACACGAUGGAAGAGACGUAGCUAGAUGUGGAGGCCGGGGAGCAAAUGCCCACAACACAGGCUGUCCAGGGCAAGAGAUGAAAUCACAGAAACGUCAGUCAUAACGACUGGCUUCUUGGUUUUCUCCCGCUCCUAACUCAUUUGGCCGGCCCCCUCUGCGGUGGCGUGCGCGGGGACGGUUGGUGGUGAGGCCCCCCCAGCUUGGCUUUAGUCAUGGCCCACGGCCGUACCAGCUUAUCACGCCGGGCCCGAUCCUUCCCCCACCCGCAGCGGCCCCGCAUCGCCCUCCGGAGCGCUCCCCCGGCUCCCGCUCUCUCCCCUUUCACAGCACUCAUCAAAAUCGCUAUGAUUUCGUUAUUGACUGUAUGCUUUAGAAGAUUGUACCAGGAGAAAGAGAAGAAACGGAUGCAGGUAGAGAGCGUGUCUUGUUACCGGAGCAGCCCUGGCCCCAGCACAGCUCGGGCCCACUACCUAGAUUGUCAGCUACCGAAUGAGGAAGAAAAGUCAGAAGAACAGGAUCUCCAGGGCCUGAAGGAUAAACCUUUGAAGUUUAAAAAGGUGAAGAAGGAUAAGAAAGAAGACAAAGAGGGCAAGCAUGAGCCCCUGCAGCCGGCGGCCCACCACUCUGCUGAGCCAGCAGAGGCAGGUAAAGCAGAGACCUCGGAAGGGUCGGGCUCGGCCCCAGCUGUGCCAGAAGCUUCGGCCUCCCCCAAACAGCGGCGCUCCAUCAUUCGCGACCGGGGACCCAUGUACGACGACCCCACUCUGCCUGAAGGUUGGACCCGAAAACUUAAGCAAAGGAAAUCUGGCCGCUCCGCUGGGAAGUAUGAUGUGUAUUUGAUCAAUCCCCAGGGAAAAGCCUUUCGCUCUAAAGUGGAGCUGAUUGCGUACUUCGAAAAGGUAGGCGACACCUCCCUGGACCCUAAUGAUUUUGACUUCACGGUAACUGGGAGAGGGAGCCCCUCCCGGCGAGAGCAGAAACCGCCUAAGAAGCCCAAAUCUCCCAAAGCUCCAGGGACUGGCAGAGGCCGCGGACGCCCCAAGGGGAGCGGCGCCACAAGGCCCAAGGCAGCAGCGUCAGAGGGCGUGCAGGUGAAAAGGGUCCUGGAGAAAAGUCCCGGGAAGCUGCUCGUCAAGAUGCCUUUCCAAGCUUCGCCGGGCAGCAAGGCCGAAGGGGCUGGGGCCACCACGUCGGCCCAGGUCAUGGUGAUCAAACGCCCCGGCCGGAAGCGAAAAGCCGAGGCUGACCCCCAGGCCAUUCCCAAGAAACGGGGCCGAAAGCCGGGCAGUGUGGCGGCGGCUGCCGCCGCCGAGGCCAAGAAGAAAGCCGUGAAGGAGUCGUCCAUCCGGUCCGUGCAGGAGACCGUGCUGCCCAUCAAGAAGCGCAAGACCCGGGAGACAGUGAGCAUCGAGGUGAAGGAGGUGGUGAAGCCCCUGCUGGUGUCCACCCUUGGCGAGAAGAGCGGGAAGGGACUGAAGACCUGCAAGAGCCCCGGGCGGAAAAGCAAGGAGGGCAGCCCCAAGGGGCGCAGCGGCGGCGCCUCCUCGCCCCCCAAGAAGGAGCACCACCACCACCACCACCACGUGGAGCCCCCGAAGGCACCCGCGCCACUGCUCCCGCCCCCGCCCCCGCCCCCGCCGGAGCCCCAGAGCUCCGAGGACCCCGCCAGCCCCCCCGAGCCCCAGGACUUGAGCAGCGGCCUCUGCAAGGAGGAGAAGAUGCCGAGAGCAGGCUCGCUGGAGAGCGACGGCUGCCCCAAGGAGCCAGCUAAGACUCAGCCCGCGCUCACGACCGCCGCCGCGGCCACAGAAAAGUACAAACACCGAGGGGAGGGAGAGCGCAAAGACAUUGUCUCAUCCUCCAUGCCAAGGCCAAACAGAGAGGAGCCUGUGGACAGCCGGACGCCCGUGACCGAGAGAGUUAGCUGACUUUACACAGAGCGGAUUGCAAAGCAAACCAACAAGAAUAAAGGCAGCUGUUGUCUCUUCUCCUUAUGGGUCCUGCUCAGCAGUGAGAGAAAAUGGAAUCAAAAGGCCACAAGGUUUGGCUCCUGCCCACUGGUAGUCCCUCUCCCCACAGUGUUUGUGUGUCAAGUGACAAAGCUGUUCUUCCUGGUGACCCUGAUUAUAUCCAGUAUCUCAUAGACUAUACGCAUAGACCUGCUUGGUCUCUUCUAUCCUGGGCUUUUGUUUUGCUUUUUAGUUUUGCUUUAAGUUCUUCUGUCCCUUUUAUUUAAUGCACCGACUAGACACACAAAGCAGUUGAAUUUUUAUAUAUAUAUAUCUGUAUAUUGCACAGUUAUAAACUCAUUUUGCUUGUGGCUCCACACACAAAAAAAGACCUGUUAAAAUUAUACCUGUUGCUUAAUUACAAUAUUUCUGAUAACCAUAGCAUAGGACAAGGGAAAAUUUUAAAAACAAAAACAAACAAAAAAAAAAACAAAAACAAAAAACAAAAACAAACAAAAAAAACCAAAAACAAAAAACAAAAAAAAACCGACAAAUCUGUCUGCUGGUCACUUUGGUCCAAGCAGAUCCGUGGUCUUUCCUCGCUUCUUUCAAGGGCUUCCCAGUGCCGAGCGAAGGAGGCUCCGGGCAGCACCGGGUUUUGCACUGUUUCUCCCGAGCUUGUGAGAGAGGCUCCAGGGUGCCACUGCGGGACGGCUCAUUUCAGUGGGUGGGUGCAAGAGUCAAGAGUGCUCCCUGGCUCUGGCAAAGCCCGGAAUGGCACUGCCUGGUCCCCUUCGAUCUCUGGGUGGGGCAGCUGGAGUCCAUGGGGGUGGCCUGGUCCCCCCCCACGCCUUCCAGCGACCCGGUCCGAGUGAUGGUAUGUGCAGAGCCGGCCCAGCAGGCCUCCCCACCGGCAGGGCCCCCGCUCUGCCGAGCCUGGGGGCUGGAGGGGAGGCAGAAGGCCGUGUCUUGUCUCUGAAAGUGUGAGCCGUACCAGGUAGAACACCAGGGACCCCAGAACCACACGUGAGGUUCAGUGGGUCCCCUCCAGGAGGUAGCGAAGACUCCAGAAAUGUCCCUUCCUCUUCUCCCCCAACCUAUGAGUAAUUGCAUUUGCUUUUGUAAUUCUUAAUGAGCAAUAUCUGCUAGAGAGUUUAGCCGUAACAGUUCUUUUUGAUCAUUUUUUUAAGUAAUUAAAAACACCAAAAAAAAAAAAAUCCAGAAACUUGUUCUUCCAAAGCAGAGAGCAUUAUAAUCACCAGGGCCAAAAGCUUCCCUCCCCGCAUCAUUACUUACUUCUGAGGCCUGAAUCCAAAAGAGAAACACUCGUAGGCCCUUUGGGUGGCCAGGCUCCCCUCGGGCCCCUCGGGGGACCUGGGCGGGGGCAGCUUCCGGGCCCGGCCUGAGGGCUCGCCCCCCGCCUUCGUUCAGUAUUAGCGGUGGGUCCCUGCCUGCUCUCCCACCCAGCCCAGGGCUGGGGGCAGAGGAGGCCGCCGCCACUGCUGUCCGGCCUCGCAGGUGGGUGUCCGUGUUAUCCGCGCGCAUGCUUUCUGCCCGAGAUCUGAAAUCGAGUUAGCGAUUUCAGCGCCGAGUUAGCCUCACCGAGUGACCUCUCGCCCUGCCCGCCCGACGCAGCAGGGCCCACCCAGUUCAGUGUUUCUGGGGAGCUGGACGGUGGAGUGCAAAAGGCUUGCAGAACUCGAAGCCUGCUCCUUCCCUUGCUACCAAGGCCUCCUUUUCCGUUUGAGUUGUCACUGCUUCAAUCAAUAACAGCCGCUCCAGAGUCAGUAGUUGAUGAAUAUAUGACCAAAUAUCACCAGGACUGUUACUCAAUGUGUGCCGAGCCCUCUCCUCGCGCUGGGCUCCGUGUACCCGGACACUGUAACGUGUGCUGUGUUUGCGCUCCUCCCCUUCCUCCUUCACUCUCCCCUCGUCUCUCUGGGGUUUUUCUGUUUGGGUUUGGUUUGGUUUUUAUUUCUCCUUUUGUGUUCCAAACAUGAGGUUCUCUCUACUGGUCCUCUUAACUGUGGUGUUGAGGCUUAUAUUUGUGUAAUUUUUGGUGGGUGAAAGGAACUUUGCGAAGUAAAUCUCUUCUGUGUUUGAACUGAAGUCUGUAUUGUAACCAUGUUUAAAGUAAUUGUUCCAGAGACAAAUGCUUCUAGACACCUUUUCUUUACAAACAAAAGAAUUCGGAGGGAGGGGAUGGUAACCGAGAGGAGAGGGUCUGUCCUUUUUCCCCAGGAGGGGAGAUCCAAAGACAGAACCCCUGCCCAGAUCAGCCAGAAGCCACCCAAAGAAGUUAAGCCUAAAGCCAACGGACCGAAUAGCUGAUGUGCUGCCAUUUGCGAAGUCAGAGCAAGACCAGGUUUUGUUCCACUCAGUGAAUUCUUUUGCACGCCCCCCACCCCCCGCCAGAUUAUUAGCAUCAUUAUUACUUUUUAAGGACGGACAAGGUUGAUGUUCCUGCAAGGGGAGCCAGGAGGGGUGUGAGCAGAGCCAACCUCGCCUCGGUGGGAGAAGGCUGGGGUGGGCCUGAGGGGCGGGGCUCAGCCAGAGGAUGGCCGUCUCCCUGGAGACCUCCACCGUGGCCGCAGGUCAGGUGUAUGUUGACAGGGCAUUACUGUUCAGGGUGGGCAUUACUGUUCAGGGCACCAUCAUCACAUCCCACCCCAUCUCGCAGUGCACGACACUAACGUGACCUCUCGAUUCCCCUGCUUUCCCGGAGGAGGAGAUGAUGGUGGAGGGGGGCGCACUCCCUUUGCUGUCAUCCGAUCCCCAGCAAAAUUUGGACAUGAGAAACCCCCUUCUUGUUUCAUGGCAAAACCCGAUCCUCCUCAAAGAAGCCGUUUACCUCCCAUUGUUUAGGGCUGAUGGAACAGGGACGGACGUGUGCUCCCUUAGCGCCCGGGGGGCCCCUCCUCUGAAAGGCAAGGACAGUGCUGACCCUAGUGACCAUUUGUGCGUGGGGCUUAGGAGCGGGAAGAACCAGGCAGGGCUGCUGUCCCCUCCUGAGUCACAGGGACACAGGUCGCCCUGUGCAGAGGGAGCUGGCUCCAGCCCCGAAGCCCAGAAGCCUGACCAAGGGUGGGAGAGGUGUGCGUGGGGCGUGGGGAGCCGCCCAGGACAGACACGGCUGGAGAUGUCUCCAGAAGCCCUCUAUCGCAUUCACCUUCAGUUUUUGUGUUUUGGGACAAUUACUUUAGAAAAAUAAGUAGGUCGUUUUAAAAACAAAAAAUAUUGAUUGCUUUUUUGUAGUGUUCAAAAAAAGGUUCUUUGUGUAUAGCCAAAUGACUGAAAGCACUGAUAUAUUUAAAAACAAAAGGCAAUUUAUUAAGGAAAUUUGUACCAUUUCAGUAAACCUGUCUGAAUGUACCUGUAUACGUUUCAAAAACACCCCCCCACUGAAUCCCUGUAACCUAUUUAUUAUAUAAAGAGUUUGCCUUAUAAAUUUACAUAAAAAUGUCCGUUUGUGUCUUUUGUUGUAAAAUCAAGUGAUUUUUUCAUAAGGUUCUUUUACUAUUUGAAAAGAUGGGCAGCACGCAGUUUUAUUUUAUUUUUGUAAGUUUUUUAAUACGUGUGAAAGCCAAGAAUACUCAGCAUGCCUUUCUAAGUGACGCGUUCGCACCUUUUGUUGGGAAGUACUGUAUCCUGUGCUGUUAGCAUUCUCGAUAAAUCUCUCUGUGAAAGUGACUCCAGGUCUGGGCUUUCAUUAUCAGACAGCUCCUAGGACAGCACGGUGGUGCAUUUCCUGAUCCACUCUGGCUGUCCCCGAACACGCAGAAGCCAGCCGCUUUCGGGGGCGGCCACGGGAGGAAAGGGCAGCCUGCGCCCCGCACCGGCCCCUCUCGGGGCUCCCCGAGGGCCAGGGCAGGACCGUCCCCUCGUCCUGGACGUGCCGAGGUGCUUUUGGAAACCCCCCCACCCCCUCAGCCCCAGCUCCGACUCCUCUGGUGCCUCCCGCCUGAGACCCUCCCGUGGCCUCUGCCGACCUGGCUCCGGCUGCCCGUGUUCCCUGGCUUCCCGUGAGGCUGUGGGCGCUCGGGAGCUGGCGGCAUCCUCACAGCCGUCCUUCAUCGGGCUGUCGAUGGCCUGGAGCGGACGGCAGUGCUCAGAGUCCAGAAUCACAGGCACAUGUGGACACACCUACUAGGAGGAGCACUAGACAGUCCUGGCCUGGCACAUUGAAACAAAGGGUUGAAAUUCACCCUGUGUGCGCACCGCGCCUCCCUCGGGUGCCAGGGCUGUCCCAGGAGCUGCAGUCCAGCAGUGAGCAAGUAGGACCAAGUAAGUCCCUGAUCCCUCGCUGUGUGCGUGCCCAGUAAUUUCCCAUCCUCGGCUUGGUAGUCUCGGUGAGGGCUGUCCCCGUGGGGAGCCACUGGGGCUCAGGGUGUGGCUGGCCUCCUCUUUGGGAGGGGCCGGCGUUGGCUGCAGCUUCUAGGAAGAGGCUGCAACGGAGGCCCAUCUUGGGCGGGCCUGUUUUCUGGGAAGAGCCCUAAAUAAGUCUGUGGACGGACAGCCUGGGGGCGGGGAGGGGGGCAGUAGCCCUCUGGGGUCAGGAUCCAGAGGGCAAGGGGGUGGCCAGGGAAGACCUGCUGCCUUUCAAGCGUGCAUCCAGCUGGAGAAACAGAAGAGGAAGGCACCCUUACUGCUUUGCGGGUGGGGGGGGGGGGUUCUUCCCUCAUCUGGCGGGGGAGGCAGAUGAGUGCCGAGGC